rnacentral:rRNA from 1 species
UACGGAGGGGGCUAGCGUUGUUCGGAAUACUGGGCGUAAAGCGCGCGUAGGCGGCUUUGUAAGUUAGAGGUGAAAUCCCAGAGCUCAACUCUGGAACUGCCUUUGAUACUGGGUAUCUUGAGUAUGGAAGAGGUAAGUGGAAUUGCGAGUGUAGAGGUGAAAUUCGUAGAUAUUCGCAGGAACACCAGUGGCGAAGGCGGCUUACUGGUCCAUUACUGAGCGCGUGAGGUGC